GACGAACGCUGGCGGCGUGCUUAACACAUGCAAGUCGAACGGGCCCGCUCUCUUUUUUGGGGGUGGGUUGAGUGGCGAACGGGUGAGUAUCACGUGAGUAACCUGCCCCCUGCUCCUGGAUAACUGCUUGAAAGGGCGGCUAAUACGGGGUGUGCCGGCUGGUCCGCAUGGGCCUGGUCGGGAUAGUUUCAUCUUCGGGUGUUUCGGUGGGGGAUGGGCUCGCGGCCUAUCAGCUUGUUGGUGGGGUGAUGGCCCACCAAGGCGGUGACGGGUAGCCGGACUGAGAGGGUGGGCGGCCACACUGGGACUGAGACACGGCCCAGACUCCUGCGGGAGGCAGCAGUGGGGGGUAGUGCACAAUGGGCGGAAGCCUGAUGCAGCGACGUCGCGUGAGGGAUGGAGGCCUUCGGGUUGUGAACCUCUUUCUCCGGUGGUGAAGGCCCUGUCCGUUGCGGCGGGGUUGACGGUAGCCGGGUAUGAAGCGCCGGCUAACUACGUG
rnacentral:rRNA from 1 species